CCUACGGGGGGCAGCAGUAAGGAAUAUUGGUCAAUGGACGCAAGUCUGAACCAGCCAUGCCGCGUGGAGGAUUAAGGCCCUUGGGUUGUAAACUCCUUUUAUCUGGGAAGCGGUACCAGAGGAAUAAGCACCGGCUAACUCCGUGCCAGCAGCCGCGGUAAUACGGAGGGUGCAAGCGUUAUCCGGAUUCACUGGGUUUAAAGGGUGCGUAGGCGGGCAGGUAAGUCCGUGGUGAAAUCUCUGAGCUUAACUCAGAAACUGCCAUGGAUACUAUUUGUCUUGAAUGUUGUGGAGGUAAGCGGAAUAUGUCAUGUAGCGGUGAAAUGCUUAGAUAUGACAUAGAACACCAAUUGCGAAGGCAGCUUACUACACAAAAUUGACGCUGAGGCACGAAAGCGUGGGGAUCAAACAGGAUUAGAUACCCUUGUAGUC
rnacentral:rRNA from 1 species